GUUCCACUCCUUAGUGACCAAGCAUUCAAAUAAACGAGCCUAUGGGGUCAUUCUUAUUCAUCCACUACAGCAAGCAUAGACAUUUCCAUCUAGACACUUUGGAUCACAGGUAACCAGCUGCCUCCCUGCCGACUUGCUUUUGUGUUUUAACUGGUAUAUGAUGAAGGGGGGAAGCAAGACGCAAUCUCAGGCACCAUUAGAAAGGAGAAAGGAAUGGAACUAGGUCACAGUAUACGCAACAGCCCACCAGGUGGUGUGGGAGUCAGGAGGAAGACCAGGGGAGGAAAAAUCAACAGAAGAUGUUGUAUAUACUAAUUUUUAUUAAUAUUUUAUUUACUUUUACUCUAUGUAUAUGGAUGCUUCGCCUACAUGUGCGUCUGGGAACCACAUGCAUGCAGCGCCCAGCGGGCCCAGAGGGAGCAUCAGAUCCUCCAGAACUGCAUUUACAGACAGUUGUUAGCUGCCCUGUGAACCUGGGAGAGCACACAAAGUGACAAAGAACCGAUGUCCAGGCAGUUGGCAAGGACAUUUGAGACUCAAUUCUUGGACUCUAAAGCCAGUGAAAACAAGCAGUGAAGACAUUGCUGGGCGAAGGGACUUCUGUAAGAGAGAAGUUUGCAAAGGAGAGUGAAGGUAAGUGUUUUUUUGGUUGCACAGUGGGUGAGAGGGGGCCUGACAUUGUCAUGUGGUGACAUCUGAGAGGCCUUCAAAGGGCUGUGAGACAAGCAGAAACCACGGAGUCAACAACGGAGGUAGUGAGUCUUUCCUAAUGAUCAGCACCUCUGGCACCAGAGAAUGAAGGAGGGGGCCACUGUCGGAGUGAAUGGCCUACUUUUCGGUGAUAUUAUGUGGACAAUGGGGACCUAAAGUAGAACAAAGGCACUGACUAUCCAGCAGCCAAUGGGACGAAUUUCCUGAAGGAGGCACCAGUCAGCUCUUUCAUGCAUUCAUGACUUUGGUUUAAAUGCCUCCAACCAAUGCUCAUGUUGAAAUUUAAUUUCCACCAUGAGGUAAAAUGAUGGGUCCAGGCAGGCUCUGUAAGAGGAGAUUAAUGCAUCCCAGAUUAAUGGAUUAAGAGGAAAUGGAUUAUCUCAGGAGCGGCUUUGUUCUAAAGUGAGCUUCCUGGCUUCUCUUUUAUAUCAACUGUGUGACACCUUGCACUGUCCUGGGACUCACAGAGUCCUCACCAGCAUCAAUGUGCUCAACAGGCUGGGUCCCUCCACCUUGGACUUCCCAGCUUCCCUAACUACAAAAUAGACCUCUUUAACAAAAAUCUUCCAGGUGGUAGAUUUUUUUUUAAAUCAACAGAAAACAGACCAGGAUGCUCACCUUCAAGUAGGCGUUUUUGUGCGUCCUGUGUCAGGUACCUGCACACUCGAGGGAGGACAUUUUGCUACUGUGGCGAGCUGCCCAUGGAGCUCUCAGAAGACACAGAGUCCAGGGGCAAAGAAACAUCUUAAUUUUUACAGGCAAGAGCUCUGGUGGAGGUGAACACAGGGUAACCUCGGAGUGUCCCAGACAAAAGACGCUUAGACUGAGUCUUGAGGGGUAAGCAGAGAUUGGUCAAAGAACAAGACUAGGAAGUGUACGCUGGUCAGAAGGAACAGCUGGUGCAGGGCUCUUUAAGCAACCUCACACUCAUGGUAGCUCUAGUCUGGGAUAAGGGAAAUUGGGCUUUUCUAAAACUUUACACAUCAAAUAAUGACCUCAGUCGUUUAGCAAGUGUGUGAUAUGUUUAGGCACUGGGUGACUUUGCUUGCGUACUUGUUUGCUUGCAGUAUUGGAAAAUGAACUCGAUGCCUUGUGCAUAUGAGACAUGAGUCCCUGAUUAUACCCUCCAGCCCAGACUCCGUUCUAUUAAUUAAUGUGUUUAUUUGUGUUGGAGGCAGAGUCUUGUAUGUCUUAGGCACGGUUCCAGCUUGCUAUGCAGUCAGGGAUAAGCCUCACUGUCUGCUCCUCCUGCUUCCCCCUCCCAGUACUGGGAUAACAGAUGUGUGCCCCUCACCUGGUUUAUUGGUGCUAAGGAUGAAAGCCAGGGUUCUGGGCAUGCGAGCCAAGUCCACUACUAACUGAGCCACAUCCCCGGCCAGGUAGCAUUUGUUACACACAGUGACUUGUUUAAUUAUCACGAAGGACAUCGCCAUUCUCACUUUACAAACUUUCCCCCUUCAGAGUCUCAGAGUCAGGAAGCUCUUGGGGGGGUGGUGAUGGAGGAGACUGUGUGCUUUGGGAUAAGACAUGUAGGUGACAACAAGAGAAAGAAGGCGACAGUGACUUGAGUUUAAGUUUGGACAUUACCUGUCGUGGAUAUCCCCAUCGACACUCAAGUUGAAAUUCAAUUUCUCUUGUGAGGUAUUAAGAGUUGGGUCCAGAAGGGACACUCCGUGGUGACUGGGCUAUCAGGGCAGAGUCCAUGGGUUAACAUUACCUUGAGGGUGGGGCUACUGUAGAAGCUAGUUUGAUUUUGUUUCUUUUCUGUACCCCAGGCACCAAGUCAUACCCUCUGCCACCUCAGGGUACUUGGAAGUGUCUCCACCUGCCAAGAGAUCAGCUCCAGAUGAGGCCUCUUAACCUCAAACUUUCAGCUUCUAGAACCGCUGGCUGAGUGAACGUGUAUUAUUUAUAAGGGAUCCAAUUCCUGGUAUUUGGUUGUAGCAACAGAAAACUGACUAUGACAGACAUAUUGAGCUCCAAUUGUUUGUGAACAACAUGGAAAUGUCAGCAGCUGCUGAGUUCUCUUUUCUAACCUCAGGAGAGAGGCCUGGGUAGAAAAGAAGGAUUAGAGACGAAAAAGAAAUCCAGGAGAGGAAACCAUUACACUAAGCAAUAUUAGGCAGGCAAAGGUCACAGUGCCUUCCGUGUUUAACCCUUUCAAUGCCCGAAUAAAGUCAAUAACCACCAUGAUUUUAUAGGAUAGACUAAGUCAGUCAGUCUCCCUGCCCUUCUAUAGCUGCAUUUCCACCCCUUUGUGACUAUAAACCAGUAUUUUAUGUUGGAGAGAAUAUA
rnacentral:sRNA from 1 species